GGUUUCUCUGUGUAGCCCUGGCUGUCCUGGAACUCACUCUGUAGACCAGGCUGGCCUCGAACUCAGAAAUCCACCUGCCUCUGCCUCCCGAGUGCUGGGAUUAAAGGCGUGCGCUACCACUGCCUG
rnacentral:miRNA from 1 species